rfam:Lachancea mirantina genome assembly, chromosome: G
GGGCAUAUGGCGCAGUUGGUAGCGCGCUUCCCUUGCAAGGAAGAGGUCACUGGUUCGAAUCCUGUUAUGUCCA